UACGUAGGGUGCAAGCGUUAUCCGGAAUUAUUGGGCGUAAAGAGCUCGUAGGCGGUUUGUCACGUCUGCUGUGAAAACUGGAGGCUCAACCUCCAGCCUGCAGUGGGUACGGGGCAGACUAGAGUGCGGUAGGGGGAGAUUGGAAUUCCUGGUGUAGCGGUGGAAUGCGCAGAUAUCAGGAGGAACACCGAUGGCGAAGGCAGAUCUCUGGGCCGUAACUGACGCUGAGGAGCGAAAGCAUGGGGGAGCGAACAGG
rnacentral:rRNA from 1 species